rnacentral:lncRNA from 1 species
UUUUUUUUUUUCUAUGUUCAAUUCAAAUAAAAAAUCGGGUAAACCAAAUUAAAUUGACCUAAAAUUAGUCGAAUUAACAAAUGCAGAUUUAUGUUCAGGCUCUUCAAUCAACAAUUAGUUUAUUUAAAGGGUGUGGUGCACCCAUAAUUUUUAUAUCCUUAAUUCGUCAUUGGAGUAAUCGUGCGAGAAUUAAUAAUAAUUAAAACACAAUGAUAUGUUCAAGGAAACUUUAUGUAUGCCUGCAUUCAUAUGUAAUUCUCCGUGUUUUUGGCAAAAAAACUUCCCUAUAUACUCUAUAUUCACAAAUCACAACCUAAAUUGCAUCCUUAAAAAUUGUCCUUGUGAACAAAACACAUCCCUAAAUAGAAUAUUGGAAAAGCAUGUCCAAGUUAAUUACAUCAACAAUUUUAGAGUAUAAAUUUGAUGAAGAAGCAACAUAUCACUUCCCAGAAUCACAUCACAUGUGAAUAGGGGUGUCAAAUUGGAUGGGUUAGGCUGAAAUUAGACAAGUCAAAAUGAGCUCGACUCGGUGACCCGCCCAAGAGUUACAUAGGCCAAAAUGAGCUAGCUUAAAAUGAACUAAAAGCAAACCAGAACUCAAUCCGCUCAAUUCUUACUAAGUUUUUUGUUUUGUUUUACAUGGAAACCAUGACCCUCUCUUAAACAGAUACAACUCACAAGAAUUUCCCAGACACAAACACUAUGUUGCUCAGAUUUAAAAAUGGAAAAAUUACAUAAUUACACAACCUUUCUUUCCAUAUUCUCUAAAAUUCCCUAUCAUUUCAAAAUAUUACAAAAAUCCCUAUUUUCCUCUCCUUCAUUCCUUUUCCGGAUACAUAACUCAUAGCCCUCCAACCCAACGAUUUUUGUUCCUAUUUUCACGCCUGAAAUCACUCCCACAUAUCAGCAGUUGUCCCCAUCACUCCAUUUUUUGAUUUCAAAUCUAUUCGCUCUCCAGUUCAUCGAUUUCAAGUUCUUAAAGAGGUAAACUAUUUCUUCAUCAAUUUUUUCUUCUUUCCAGUUCUUCAAUUAUCUUUUUAAAAAAAAAAAAAAAUUAGCCUUUUCAUCUACAAUUUUCUGAUACAUAUGGAUUAUGCUCCCUCUUUUAGUAUCGAACAUACCAAAUUGGUUUUACCUAUUGGAGAUAUAGUACCUUGUGUAUUUGAUUCUGAUGAUGGAAAUUUUCAUAAAAAUACAUAUAAACAACGAAACGAUCCAUUAAUCAUGAAGAAUUUGAGGUUGAAAAAGGAUGCAUGCUUGAGUUCUAUAUCUACUGUUGGAAAAACUCCCAAAAAGGAAAAAAAGUUGGAUCUGUCGUUACACGACCAUCACUAUCAAACUUGAAGAUUUUCAAUGUAUCUCAUUUAUUUUGAUUCUUAAAUUAGUCUUUGUUAGUGUUAUCACUACUCUGAUACAUCACUGCUACAGUAGCCUUUGUUUUAUGCAAUGUAUCAUGCUCACAUUUAAGGUAUUGAUACGUAACCCUAAUGUUUUUGAAUUUUCGAUUAGUGUUUAUCCUGCUCAAUAUAACUGUACUUGAUACAUAAACACUACCUAAUGUAUAAUUUAUAUGUAUCAAGUUCUACAAUGUAUCUUCAAUCUUAUUCAAAUUUAAAAGGCUAUAUAGACAAUACCAAAAUCAAUUGUGUUAUGUAUCUACAUUCUUUAAAUGUAACAAAGAUACAUCAACAACAUGAUACAUUUAAUACCUAUUAGUCAUAAUUACCCAGUCUUCCAUACUUGUACAUUAAAAAAAGAAGAAAUCAACAUAUAUCUGAUACUUUAUAUCAACAACACACUAACUCAUAGCUCUAAAAACCUAUUACAACUACGUCAAACUAGAAAUGUAUCAAAUUGUAUCAAUUAGUUCUUAAUUAUACAUUUAAUUAAAUUUUAUAAUGUAUCUACUUCUUCUUGAGUGACUGCGAAAUGUUUGUAGCUAUCUUUGCUGAGUUCCUUAGCGACAAAAUCAACAUCUCAUCAGAUGGUUUCCGAGUUGAAUAUCUUUGCACAAGAUAUGGAGCAUUGUAUAUGAAAAUACGAUAGUGAAAAGUCCAUGAUAUGUUAUCAAUAAAGAUGAUCCACCAGGUCACUUCAUUCCAUCACCUCAAGAUGAUUUGGUUCAUGUAGAAUAGUGAUUAUGUAUCCACACACAAAGUUGAACUAAUACAUAGCUGCAAUUGUACCAGAUACAUUAGAAAAACUACUGUUUCAUGUAUCAUUAAAAAAAAUUUACAUUUUUAUUAAUUAUCUUAACGAUCUAUAAAUAACAUAAGUACUAGAUACUUAUUAUUGCAUACUCAUUAUUAAAUGUAUCAAAGAUAUGUCAACAACAUGAUACAUUUAAUACCUAUUAGUCAUAGUUACCCAUUCUUCCAUACUGAUAUAUUAAAAAAAAAUCACAUAUAUUUGAUACUUUAUAUCAACAACAUAUUGAUUCACGGCUCUAAAAAUUCAUUACAUAUACGUCAAACUAGUAAUGUAUUAAGUUGUAACCAGUAAUGUAUCAUGAAUUAUAUAUCCAUAUACAAAUUCAAAAAUAAAAAAAAUAUUUAUUAAAGCACAAAAAAAAUAUAACAAAUAAAUUCACAUGUAUCUGAUACUUUAUAUUAUCAAUACACUAACUUAAAGAUCUAAGGGCACAUUACAUAUACAUCAAACUAGUAAUGUAUCAAUUUGUAAUCAAUAAUGUAUCACGACUUAUUUAUCAAUAUACAAAUUCAAAAAUAAAAAAAUAGAGGAGAUACAUAGCAAAUUCAGACAAUUACACCGGUUGAUACAUCAAAGCUUUGUACCUCACUAAUAUGUUGUUCGAUUUUAUCAAUACAUAAGGGAUACAUAGCAAAUCCAACCUCACGUUUCUUCACCUCAACAUAUAACUUUACUCCCAUAUCAUUCCUAAUAAUCAGUGGAGAUGAAUUACCUUCUACAAUGUACCAGAUCUCAAUUUUUUCUUCAAUUCAUCAAUAUUCAACUCACCUGCAGUGGUUGAAAUUAGAUUCACGAAUGAAAUAUUUUCCCCAACCACUUUCACAUCGUAUCAUUCAUAUCUAACCUCACUUUUUCAUAUUCCUGAAUGCCUCAACAAAAUUGAGAUAUUCACUUAUAUAUCUUAUCAAAUUUUCGAUAGAAGUUUUGAAUCUUAGUGGAAAGUUUCUCCGACGAAACAUGGAGAAUGAUGAACAAAGAUUUUGUAUUUUGAAUAGGUUUAUUAUGUUAGUAUCUAUGUUUCAGUGAUUGACAGUAAGGCGUACAUUAUGGGAUUGUAAUUAGAUUUUUUCUGUUUUGUUUUCCUUUUUAAGCGCAACAACCGCACAUAUAAUGUAUCAAAAUAAAUGUAUCCGGACAACCAAUUAUGUAUCCAGAUGGCUGAUAUUUUAAGGGAUUUUUGUAAAAUAUGAAAGAUUAGGGAUAGGAUGUAAUUUAGGUCUUACACUAUGAAAUUUAUGUAAGUUAUACUAAAAAUAAUAGGUGAAACGUAUAUUUGCUAAUAAUAUACAAAUACAAAAGAAGUAAUUAUAUAUAAUUAUUGAAUAUAUACAAAUAAGGUCUAAAAAAGUAAAAAAAAUGCAAUAAACAUUGAUAUGCUAAAUUCACAUAAUCAUAGACAACAUAAUGUGAAAUGUAUGGAUAGAAAUACAAAUCACAAAAACAUACAAAAUAAAUUAUACGAAUACCUCAAUUUUUUCACCAUCAUCUUGGUCCAUUGACCCAGUCUCACCCAGAUUUAUCUUCUUCUUUAGAUAUUUUGAUUCAAUAUCGACAGAUACAAUUUCUUUUACUUUCCAUUUACUUUUUGAACUCGCUUGAACCAUCUUCCUUUAGUGUCCCUCUUUUGAAUUAAAAUUUUGCAUAACUUAUUGCAUCUUCAUAUACAAAUGAAAAUCUUUUAAUUUUUUUUGAAUACCUCGAAUAAUUCUAUCAAAAGAAGUUUGUUUAGUCAUGAUUUGUAUGUAUCUAUGGAGAUUACUGAAAAACUAAAAGAAAUUAGAGGAACAUACAAAUACAAAUCAAAACACGAAAGAUUGAAAUCGUCAGAAGAGAAAUAAAAAAAAGUAACUGCAAGAAGUUACCUGAAAUUGUAGGAGCACAAUUUGAGAGGGAGACACGAAAUUUUUGAAAUUUGAAAUUUGAUUGUGCUUGAGUGAAUUAAGGAGAAAAAUCAAAAGAUUAUGAUAAGAGGGAAAUGUUAUUUGUAUAAUCGGGAAAAAACGGAAAUUAUGAUAAUAUAAAUGUACAAAUCCAAAAGUGGUUCCUAUUAAAUAGAAUGAAACGUUUAUGAUAAAUAUAUAAUUAAGUAGUAUAUAUUUACUUAGUCGCGUCAUUUUUUCAAUUCCUAAUUAGGUGUGAAAUAAAGUAUUGGGUAUAACCAUAUAAAUUUGUUAUUAAAAUAAUAAUAUAGAUUUGUUGUGUAAUUUUUUCAACUUUGAUUUCAAGGAGCAAAUAUACGACUUAUGUUUUUCUUGUUACAUAGAAUUUCCAAAUAAUCGUAAUUUUUUAAAUUUAAAUAUUCAAAUCUCUCCAAAUAAGCUUAAAUUUGAAACAAAAUUACCAUGCAUCCCUAAGAAUAAACUUCAAUCAUCAAUUUUUAAAAUAAUAAAAAAUUUAACAAAUUCAUUUAACAUUCUUUUAUUUUUUAUUUAUAUAUAUAUAUAUAUAUAUAUAUAUAUAUAUAUAUAUAUAUAUAUAUAUAUAUAUAUAUAUAUAUAUAUAUAUAUAUAUAUAUAUAUAUAUAUAUAUAUAUAUAUAUAUAUAUAUAUAUAUAUAUAUAUAUAUAUAUAUAUAUAUAUAUAUAUAUAUAUAUAUAUAUAUAUAUAUAUAUAUAUAUAUAUAUAUAUAUAUAUAUAUAUAUAUAUAUAUAUAUAUAUAUAUAUAUAUAUAUAUAUAUAUAUAUAUAUAUAUAUAUAUAUAUAUAUAUAUAUAUAUAUAUAUAUAUAUAUAUAUAUAUAUAUAUAUAUAUAUAUAUAUAUAUAUAUAUAUAUAUAUAUAUAUAUAUAUAUAUAUAUAUAUAUAUAUAUAUAUAUAUAUAUAUAUAUAUAUAUAUAUAUAUAUAUAUAUAUAUAUAUAUAUAUAUAUAUAUAUAUAUAUAUAUAUAUAUAUAUAUAUAUAUAUAUAUAUAUAUAUAUAUAUAUAUAUAUAUAUAUAUAUAUAUAUAUAUAUAUAUAUAUAUAUAUAUAUAUAUAUAUAUAUAUAUAUAUAUAUAUAUAUAUAUAUAUAUAUAUAUAUAUAUAUAUAUAUAUAUAUAUAUAUAUAUAUAUAUAUAUAUAUAUAUAUAUAUAUAUAUAUAUAUAUAUAUAUAUAUAUAUAUAUAUAUAUAUAUAUAUAUAUAUAUAUAUAUAUAUAUAUAUAUAUAUAUAUAUAUAUAUAUAUAUAUAUAUAUAUAUAUAUAUAUAUAUAUAUAUAUAUAUAUAUAUAUAUAUAUAUAUAUAUAUAUAUAUAUAUAUAUAUAUAUAUAUAUAUAUAUAUAUAUAUAUAUAUAUAUAUAUAUAUAUAUAUAUAUAUAUAUAUAUAUAUAUAUACACACUCAAUCACACAUGAUUGAAAUAUAUAUUAAAUUAAUUGAAAUUUCAGUCAUAUGUAUCUAACCGCAGAAGUAAAAAUAAAGUUCUUUCAUCCAAAAACUAUCUAAGAUAUUAAGUAUAUUCAUAUAUAAAAAAAUAUAAAGAUAAAUUUUAUUUAGAUGUGAAAAUCAAAAUACGACGCUCCCUGAAAUUUUUUGAAAAGAUUUUGAAUAUGAGAAAUAUGUUUAUGAUCCAAUUUUUGUCAAAUCAAAUAAUAAGCCCAAAUGGUCCGAAGCGUUGGUUCGUGUCGUCCAGCCCACUACUAGGAGCGGACGAAUAGUUUAUGAAGUUUAGAGAGAGAAAAACAUACUGUUUAGAGAGAGAAAGUUUGGGAACGAAGGAGCACGAAGACGAACCAAGAACCUUAUUUUACUCGACAAAUACAUACGUAUAUACGUCAAUUUAGGCACUUGUUGUCUGUAUAAGCAACGGGGCAUAUCGUAGGAGAUUGAAAUGGCUUCACAAAUUCUAGGGCAAAUAUCUUUUGCUUUGAAUUGACGUAUUUUUCAUCGAAGAAAAACCCUAGAACCAAGGAGAAACCUUCAGACUUGACGCAUUGCUAACCUUACCUGCAAUUCCGGCACAAUUGAGGUAUUCCUUUUGAUUCCCAACUUUUACAAACCCUAAAAUUUGGACUUCAUUCAAUUUCGUGCAAACCCUAGAGUUCAAUUGCUCAUUUACAUAACAGGGGAAUGUGAAAUAGAGAGUUUGCAUAUGUGGUGGUGCAAAUUGCUUAAACUGUUUUCACAAGAGCUCAAUUUUACGUGACAAGUAGUUGUUGACGUGUGUCAACAAGUGAAACUAUUUUGUCUUUGAGCUUGAUUUCAUUUGACUUGUUUGAAGCUGUUGAUCAUAGAAUUAUUGUGCUUUUGCAAAUACGUGAGGCAUGGGCGGAAGUUUCAACAAUGCUCCUGCCUUUCGGGCAUCUUUUUGUAUUUGAAUUCUGUUUGUGAGUUUUGGUGUCUAGUCGCGCAAAUGUGCCACUAGGUUGACAUGCAAUCAUGAAUGAACUACUUUUAUUUUUUGACUGCUACAUUCUAGAGACUGAGAUGUUAGUUUUUAAUAGAUUCAAUGCUUCACAUGCUAUACUUAAUGGAUAGGUAUAGACUACGAACAAUCACACUCACGUGAAUGCACUCGCACUAGAACAUGUAAUAAUGAUUUAUCUUGGAAAAGUAUCAGAGAUGCAUCCUGGAUUUGAUGUUUAUGGGUGCCUACACCUCAAUUAGUAUGAUAAUAACUGGAUUUACUAUCAAAUAUUUAUAGAUAUUUGGUGGAUUUCGUAGUGCAUAGAUCUGCACAAAAAGCUACUUGGUUCACGUGAAUUCACAUGUUACAUUGUGGAUCCACCCGUGAUAACUACAAUCAAAAUUUGAAAAAGGAAAACCAUUUAUAGUGUGCAUGGAAUGAUGUUUCUUUCUCCAAGUGGCUUAUGGUUCAAUAUAAGCUCUUUUCUAUUGUGUACCAUUAAUUUGUACAAAGAUUUUUCCCAUGGAUAUUAUGGAAGAUAUUGUAAGGAAGUUUUAUCUUUUCUUUUGUAUACUUGCUGUUACAUGCUGAAAUAUAGGAAAGAUCAACGUGGAUCCUCCGUCGGAGCUUAUUCAAUCAGUUUUCUUUAAUAACUAUUGCAUAAGAACUUAAUGUAUAGCUGCUAUGGAUAUUGGACAUGUUACUUGCUGUCUUGAUCUUGAAAAGUUUGUAGAAAGCAAGGUGAAGUGAGAAAGGGAAUUGAGACAUGUAGUUCUUUGUCCCUGGAUGGUCCAUAUUUACACUAUCUAUACAUUUGUAGACCAAUUGGUGGAGCAUGUCUUGCCCCUCUUUGAACCUAUAAAUAUGUUUGUACUCUGAAGUAUUAAGAGGCAUUAACAUAGUUCAUCAAGGUCUAUAUCUCUUUCCUAAUGUUUCAUAGAGUCAUUGUAAGAUAUGCUAAUGGUCAUUCUCUCCCUUCUCUAAGUAUAUCUAUCCAUUUAGCAAUAUCUGUUUCUGGUAGUUUUGUAUCUAGCAAUGUUACUUUGGCGGCAUAUGCUUCCUUGUUUCCAGCAUAACUGAAUCCCAGAGAUCUUACUUGUGAAGUGGCUUUCUUUGUAAGAGACCUGGAUUCUCUGGUGCCAUUAUUCCUUUUUCUGCAGUUAUACAUUUCACCUUUACCCGUAAUGGACUGUUUACCAAGUGGGGUAUUUUUUCUCUUUUCUUUUGCAUUUAUUCAAGAAAAAGUUGGACGGGAUUGAGGCUGCCUGGAAUAGUGCCUUAAGUUCAUUAGUACAAAAGGUAAUAGAAACCCAAUUCUUGCAUUUAAAUGAUACUUUUGAAACAAGUCCGUACCUACAUCCACAAAAUCCAAAAGGUGUAUACAUCUUCUGUUAUCUAUGUGCUAAUAUCAGUUGUUACUACUUUCUCUUGGUGUUUCAGCUCCUGCAUGGUGUCUUAAGUGUUGUCUUGUCUUUAGGAAUUUGAUCAAGGCUUGUGCUGAUGGAGGGAAAGACCCUGUAGCUUUUAAGGUGGGAAUGCAUGGAUGUGGUGCGGAAUCUGAUCCCAUAGCCAAUGCUGAGGUUGAUCCCAUGGGAGGAGUUUUUGAAGGUGGAGUUGGUAUUGGUAACAAAACUACUCUACGGAGAUCACCAAUCGAUGAGGUUCAAAAUAAGCUUAGGUAAUGUUAGCAGGCUGCUUCACUCUAUCCUGCCUAAAUGGAAUUUAAUGAUUGCAGUACUUCCUCUAUGCUUACAGUGAGAUUUGUUGUUGUUAACAGGCAGGAGUAUGAUUUCCUAGAGGAAAAGAGAAGAGAGUUAGAAUUUCUUGCGCAAGUAUGAUAGUUUGACUGGGUAUUAUAGAUUUUCAGAAAUUAUCCGCUUGAACUUUUGGCAUGACUUCAUUCUCCUUGUUGCAGGGUGGUGAUCCACUGGAUUUCAAAUUUGGGAAUGCUACUUCACUUAGUGUUCAGUCCACUUCUCUGACAGAUCAACAUCCAGAUCAGUUUGUGACCAGGUAAUUUUUCAGAGCUCUGUUAGUUUUCUAAUCCUUAUUAUGAUUGCUAAUUUCUAUCUGCAUUCUAGUGAAGCAAAAGGUAGUUUUGCAAUUACUGCUUCACCUCAUGGAGACUCAGUUGAAAGUAGUGGUCGACUUGGGGCUCCUCAACUUUGUGAACCCAACAGUGCUGACAAUCUCAUGCUAUUUGAUGGUGAAAAUGAAUUCAUUGAAGGUGUUAGGUCCUGUAGACACCCCAGUAGGAGCAAUCUUACUCCGUCAGAGCAGUCAUCUAAGUUGGAUAGAAGUCGAAAUGCAAAAGAAUUGGGCGUUUCUGCUGCUUUUGGCGUCCCUAGAAAAGCUUACAAGCGAAGACACAGGCCCCGGUCUAAUGGAGAUGGCACUAGAUCAAGUACCACUGAUAUAAUUCUAGCUCGUGGUGGUCAUGGCACAUCUUUGCCUUCACAACAUUUUACUGAAGAUGUUAAAGGGCUAGUUUCUGAUGGUGAAAAUCCAAAAGACCAGAAAUCUUCUUUGAACAUUUCACUGCCUUCUAUGCCAAAUGGUUUUAUGCCUGUGGAAACUCCGUCCUCUGAUAAUCAGCUGGAUUCUGAAAUACAUGGCGUUAAAGCUGCAGAGGCAACUACUUACUUGAUGAAUGAGGAUCUGGCGCAUAGCAUUCCUGAAGCUAGUGCUUCCAGAGGUUUGCUGGAUAACCAACAUGAUCAGAAUUCACUCACUGGUGUCGAGGAAAUGUCUAUUCAGGAAGGUCUAGAAAAGCCUCAAUCAUCACUGGGAAAAGAAGGGGUAGGUUCUGCUGGCCAGGAAGGUCACUUGUGUACAGCUGCAGCAGAGCUUGAGAAUCAAGCUAGUAGCAGCCAUUUAAAUGGGUUAAGUUGUGGAAAGAGCGAGCAGAAAAGCAUACCAAUUGAUGUUCAAAGCAGUGGUGCAGCAUUGGGCACAAAAGGUUUAGAUUCAGAAUCUUCUCGCACUCGGGCUAUCCAUAGUCUGGAUCGAAAUACUAAUAAUGAGACGUUUACCGACCCAACAAACUUAGACUCAAAUGGUGACUUGAAGGAACAACUGUCUGUGCCAGAGGGAACACCAGUUAUAGAAAGCAAUCUUAAAGAACAGAAAGAGGUGAAAGCUGAUGACAGUUGUGGUUUCACUAAUGAGAUAUGCAAUUCUGGUCCCAAAAAUCAUCAGAGUGAUUUUAUAGAUACGUCACAGGAAGAAUUUGCUGGCAGUAAAUCUAAUUUGCAGAGUGAGGUAAAAGAUAAAAUUACCGUCCAAGUGGAAACAAUUUCCCCAUCUUCAUCAGAAACUGAGAGGAAACCCAGUACAAACUCAAGUGAUAGUUCCAACUCCCAAAAAGGAUAUGUUUGUAUUGUUGGCCGUCAGGGUUCAAUUGAGUCCAGAAUACCUGAGCCAUCCCAACAUGUAUCACCACAUGGAGUUUUAAAUCCUUCUCCUGAGGCACAAGCACCUGAGAUCAACCUUAAACUUGCUACACGGGGUGAUGAAGACUCAAUCUUGAAAGAGGCACAGAUUAUAGAGGUUUUUCCCUUAUUCUUUAAAACGUCGCAUCCUCUUCUGGUUGAGCUUGUAAAAUUAUUGCUGACUGUGUUAUUUGGCUGCAAAUAUCUAAUACAAUUUAACAAACAGGCGAAACGUAAAAGAAUUACAGAGUUAUCUGCUGUGGCCUUUCCGUUGGAGAAUCGGCGGAAAUCUCAAUGGGAUUAUGUAGUCGAGGAAAUGGUUUGGCUGGCAAAUGAUUUUGCACAGGUACGAAUUAAUUGACCAUUGCAGUUGGAGCCUCUUUCAUUUCUGCUUUUCUAGUAGCUUUUUUCAGUGCCAUACUGAAUAGUUGAAACAUGAUUAAAUUUUCAUUUAGGUUCUGGGAAUUUUUUUCAGUUUGUUUUUCCAAACUUGGCACUUAUUUAAAAGUCUCUCUUCAUGUAGGAACGUCUUUGGAAAAUGACUGCAGCGACUCAAUUGUGCCAUGAAGUUGCUUUUACCGCACGGUUACGAUUCCAAGAACAAAAUAGUAGUUGCAAGCUAAAAAAGGUAGCCCAUAUUAUGGCCAAAUCAGUCAUGGGUUUCUGGCAGUCGAUUGAGGUACAUUGAUGACACAAUAUUAUGUUCUUUUGUUACGUUUUUAUUUUCCUUCCUUGAAAGAAUUGUCUUUCUUUUGUUUAUUUAGUUACAUAUGUUUUUUUUUGUUCCUUUUUACUGGUCCAUGAGGUUAAACAACUUUUCGACGGAGGAUAAUAAAUCAUACCCUGGUUUUAUUCUUCCAUUUUGCUGUUGGUAUUUCCUUUUAAUCCUGCUUUGGUUACACUUCUUUUGAGCCGGGAGUCUAUUAGAAUCAGCCUUUCUAAAUGUGGGUUAAGGUUUGAGUACAUCCUACCCCCCUACACUGGGUAUGUUGUUGGUUUCUGUUCUUCUUGGUUGAUCAAUUCUUUUGUCCAUUGUCAGUUGUCACAUUUAUCUGCCUAUUGGUAGUAUGUAGUACUGUAACCCCAUCUGUAAAUUCACAUUUGAGUAUGAAAUAUGUGAUGCUAUGCUGAUUUCAUAUGCACACAUAAAUACACGCUCAAGCACAAACAUAUGUGUAUGUAUGUGUGUGUCUGUAUUCGUUUACUUGCUUAUUACUUGGUUUAGGGUACGCGCAUAGCGCUUGUAACCAUUUCAUGACAUAUUUUAAGAAUAUCUUAUGAAUAUUACUGUUAUUUCAAGACCUAAUUUUGAAUAAAAAAUUAUCAAAUAUUUAUUAUAUCAUUAUACGAUUUUUUAAAGAUUAGUCAAGUAACAGAAAUCAUAAAAUUGAUUCUUUAAAAAUAUUUAGAGUGAAAAACUUGAUUUUGUAAAGUCUAAAAUGACUUAUGUUAAGUCGAUAUUCUACUACAAAUAUUUGUAUAACUGAAGGGACAUUUAUUGGAAUGAAUAGAAAAAGUAAGAAACAUAAGUAAUAACAACUCAUCAAUAUAUAUAUUAAUAUUACCGUGGUGUCCGGGCCAACUUUUGCGCACCUCGAUUAAUUUCACGGGAUGCCUACCGCCUCCCACCAGCAACUAGAAUCAGGUAACUCUGUCCACCAAGGGUAGGACAGAUGGGUAGAAUCACCUAGUGUUUUUUGUCCUCGCUGAGUUUUGAACCUGAGACCUCAGGAUUCUCAACCACUUCAUUGACCAAUAGGUCACACCCUUGGGUGCCUCAUUUAAAAUAUAUUUCAUCAUCUACUAAUGUAAUUUUAACUAAUUUGAAUCUCAAUAAUAUUUUUUGUAUAGACUCUUAAUAGUUUACUAUAAUUGAUUUUGCUUUAUUGUCUUAUUUCUUGACUGCAAUGCUUUUCUUAAAACAAUUUUAUGUGGCUUGAGUUUGUCAUGAACUUGAAAUAAGAUUUGACUUGUAUGAUAAAUCAGAAAAAGACUGAGAAUGGAAUUCUUUUGCUUAUUAUUCAUUAAAAACAUGUAACCCAUAAUUUCUUUCACCAAUAAAAUUAUCAUCGGUCAUUUGACUCAUUGUUCUUAGAAUAAAAUUUGUAGUAAUUUAUCCACCCUUGUUCAUAUCUAGUGUAGUUCAAAUAGAUCUAGAACGUAAGAAUUGAACUAAAUACAUGUAAGAAAUAAAAACUUACCUAAAUAAUUAAACAUUGUGUUCAAUUCAGAUAGUAAUCAUGCUGUAAAUUAAUUUAGAUUAUCGUUAAAAGGACCUAAAUGAAGAAAAACAAAGCACGACGACUAAAAAAGAAAGGCUAUCUACCAGAAAGUCUUGUGCUCUAUGAUUAAUGCCUCAUUUUGAGUGGCAAUCGCGAUAUCAUAACCUAUUACCUAUAAAAAAGCAUAAAUCGUCAAUUUUCUUACCCUUUAAUGUGCAACUUAUUUUAAGUAGGCGUGCGGACAUGCACAUUGUUUGGACAUCUUUACAAUUUUAGCCUUAACAUGCCCUGUUGAUUUUAAUACAAAUAUGUUGCCUUUUCACAAAAAAAAUCAACGUUUGGACAUGCGAUUUGAGAUCAUGAUUUCAAAUCCCAAAUUCUCCAAAAACCAGGAUUUGAGAUUCCAAAUCUUAAUUUCAAUUUUUUUAAAAUGUAAAACUUGAGUUAUUUUUUGUAUAAAAAAAAAAAAAACUCGUCAGUUUAAAUUUAGCAAAAAAAGACUCAUGCUCGAUGUGUAGAGAUUGUCUCUACCAUGUGAAAUGAUGUAUUAAAGAAUAACUAGUUGCUAUUAUUGAUUAGUAGGUCUUUAUAAAAUUAUAUGUAUUCGGAAGUUUGUAAUCAUAAAUAUUUAUUUAUAAAAGGAACAUGGAGAUAUGCGGUUUAUCAAUGCAGUGCCUUAGGAUAUUUCGAUAUCUUGUUUAUGACUAUGGUUUGCUUAUUUGGUAAGAUUGCAUAAGAAUUUGGGAAAUUUUGAUAGUUUAAACAAAUUGUUGAGUUUUCAUGUUUUAUGAGAAUAAAUACACUUAAAAAAUUCAAAUUACAUGUUCAAACAAAACUUCAACUUCAAAUCAAUCUGAUUUCAGGUCAUGAUAUCAUAUUGCAUGUACAAACAGGCCCUUAAAACCAAAGUGACCUCCAAAUUAGAUUCUAGCUUAAUCUUAAUCAACGUAACAAUCAAAAUUUUGUCUUCCUAGAUCUUUUUCUUUCUUUUGACUUUCAUGUAGCCACCUUUUCAUUCUAGCUCAUCGUUUCCCUUAAUCUUAAUCAACGUAACAAUCUAAAUUUUGUCUUCCUAGAUCUUUUUCUUUCUUUUGACUUUCAUGUAGCCACCUUUUCAUUAUAGCUUAUCGCUUCCCUCAACCAUAAAUUUAACUUAACUUGAAGUGAGGAUUUUCAACCAACGACUCUCAAACUUUUCUAUCCAUAUCUUAUGUAUAUAUAAUAAAAUAAUAAUAUUUUCUCAUUUAUCUAAGUAUGUGGAAAAGUUACUCAGUAUAUGCGCUUGGGAAAGGUAAUAGAUAACCUAACAAGAUAAUGGAGAUGCGCACAAGCUGACCUACAUCACCAUAAUAAACAAAUGUAUACAUAACAAAACAUAAAAGUUUAAUGAUUUUCCUAUAUGAUCAUAUCAUGAUAUGAAGAAAAUAAUUAUUUAAAAUGAAUGAAAAUCCCAAAACGCCAGUAAUAUAUAUUCACAAGUUCUAGCACCUGUGGCCUAGUGGCCUAGUGGUCGAUGGAGUGGUUGAAAACCCUGAGGUCUCAUGUUCAAAACUCAGUGGAGACAAAAAAACACUAGGUGAUUCUUCUCAUUUGUCCUAUGAUAUCUAUUGUUGGUGGGAGGUGGUAGAUAUCCCGUGGAAUUAGUCGAAGUGUGCGAAAACUGGUUCGGACACCACGAUCAUAAAAAAAUUAUAUAUAUAUAUAUGUAUGUACACACACAUUUACCAAUUUGAAAAAAAAGAAGGAAACACCAAUAAUAUUUCUCCAAAAAUGAUCAACCUUAGACUUACUAAAAACAUCUUGGACCAGUUGAACUCAAACUUUCUUGUUAAAACAAUAAAUAGCAGCUUCAUUAUAUCUCCAAAAAAGAAAAUUUAUUUCACUCAAAUAAUUAUUAACAUAUUGUUUCAAGUACAAAAAUACAAACUUGAUCUAUUCUUGAAAUACGUGGAAUCUCUAUGUUAUGGAAGGACACUAAUGUCAAUUACAGAAUUGGUCAAUUCUUGAAAAUGUGUAAUCAAUCUCUAGGAGGGAAUUCAUUAUGAAGGAAAAUUGCUUCUAGAAAGACUGUCCCAAUGUUUGUGUAGAAAGUUAACUAGCGAAACCCUUCAUAUCAUUAUAUGGUAAGAGAUGAUUAAAGUUAUCAUAUCAAAUAGUAUUUAUUACAUAUGAGCUAAAAUUCUAAAACUUUUAAAGUCCUAAAUAUAGGCAAAUAGUCAAUUUUCACGUUAACCAUAUAUUUACUUUACACAAUUUAUAUAAGUAAAGUCAUCUUCGUUUUCUAAGUCCUAUAUAUAUGGAUAUACAUAAUAUCAAUAAGUAAAGAUUUAAUAACCUAACUUAAGUUCAUUUUAAGUUCUAAAUAUACGAAAAAUAAUUAAAUCACCAUUUCUAAAGGACCCUUCGGGGUGGCCCAGUGGUUUGGGCUUGGGACUUCCAUGUUGGAGGUCUCAAGUUCGAAACCCCUUGCCAGCGAAAGCAAGAUGUUUGCCUUCUUGGUCGAGCUCGUCGCAAUAGGGCUUGCCUAGUGCGGGUUACCUCUCAUGUGUGGUUUGCGAGCUAUUGCAUAGGAGCAGGGGUUUUACCCCAAAGGGUAGCGACUGCGGGCUUAAAAAAUAAAAAAAAUACACUAUUUUAAAAGGGUUAAAAAGAUAGCAACAUUUCGCUAAAGGUCUUCAUGCUUUUAAUACAACAUAAAGAUUUAGAUUAUUGUGAAAAUCAUACACUUACACCCCCUGUUAGGUUUAUGUGUAACUAAUUAGAUUUAUAUAGUUAUUAAACAACGAAUUUAAAUUGUAAAUGGAACAUUUUUUAUGAAGUUACUUUAUUGAUAUUUUAAUAGAAAGAUCAAAACGUUGACGAAAAAUUUGUUCAUGCCUUUGACCAACAACCAAAAAAGAAUAAUCAUUUUUUGAAACAUUUAUCUUUCGAAACUCAUAAAUAGGAAACAAACACAAAUUAUUUACUAAGAUAUACCAACUAUUUAAAAUAAGUUUAUUGCACUUUGAGUAUGCAAGUUAUUGCUAAUUUUAUUUAAUUACUAUAUCUUAUUUUAUAGAAAUUUCUCUUUUUAUUUUAGCUUUUUAUCUAUUAUUCUGCUUUGAAUUUAUCUUAUAUGUACUUAGUUUGAUGAAAUUUCAUUUGUGUUGAGAGUUCAUUUUAUAAAAGGUCCAAGUGCUUUUAGAAAGAGGGGUAACAUCAUAGGGGUAUAAAUGUGGGAUUUUUAUAAUAUAAUAGGUGUAACUUGUUAGUGUUCUAAUUUUAAACUACAUGGGGUUUAUCUGUAACAGUGUCAUAAUACUUUUUUUUCUUCAAUUUAGUGUUGUCAAGGGUGCUCUUAAAUCACAUUUAAGCCCUGAAAUGAGGUUCAAAGCAUAUUGAACACUUUGCCACGCUUAAUGUGUGUGUCAGUGUCACCAUCAAGGCUUUAUGACAUUUUUCCUUCCCAGUGAGCCUCUUUUGAAGAGGCGGCACUAAACAUUCCAUUUUUAAAAAAAAGGUGUUUUAUUGUAUUGUAAAAUCAAUUAUUAAAUUGACUCCGAAAAUCAUAAAACAUUUAUUUGUCAUGCAUAAAAGUUGUUUGAGCUAUAAAUAAAAUAGUAUUGCUGAUCCCAUAGCAUGUAUAGUAUUGAAGUUCAUUAUUUUUAUAUUUAUAUUAGGACAUACAUAAGGGAAAGUAAUAUGGAAAGCUCCCAAAUAUUAGGAUUGAUGAAAAAUAUCAUGAAUGGAAUUAAAGCUUUGUUAGAUAGUUAGUUUUGCAGUCCUAAAUAUGAGGAAAAAAUAAUUAAAUGUCUGUCCCUAGAUAUUAGGAAAAUAAUUUAUUGACAAUUCUAUCCAAUGUAAAAUUUAUUUUUAAGGGAUGAAAAAAACAACAAUAUUUCGCUAAGGUCCUUCGUGCUUUUAACUAUAUAUAUGAUAUUAUAGUCUGCUAUAUGCAGAUAUAGGUUUGCAUCAUUACCUGAUUUAAGGCCAAUCCUUUAAAUUAACAUAGAAGGAUGAACCAAAUCAUUUAAAGUUUAAAGUUAUCUUCAUGGAAUUGCUUGAAACAUACUUAUGUAAAUUAUUCAUGUAUUCUAACAAUGAAAUUUAUGAGCUCUGCUUUGUCAAAAAUAAAUAAAUUUAUGAGCUCUGUUAUUAGACUAGGAAGAGUUGCAGCAACUUUUUCAUUGCCUUUCUAUUACAUUGGAUCUGUUUUUCUAUGAGCUACGUUGUACGAUUUAACAAUAUUUCUCAAUUAUGUGAUUCACUGCCCACGUAAGUAUUGGGUAAUUUGGAAACAUUUCUUACAGGAUGUACUAAUUCUGAACUUGUAUACGUAAGUUGCUUGAUUUGAAGAGCUUCCUCGAUGUAUGUGAUCUCAAUGCAACUGGAUUGAAGUUGGGAGAAUUUAUUAGUUGUUCUUUAGAAAGAAGAAACUUAAAUUUAGCUGGUUAUAAUCAGAUAGAGCAACCUUUAAAACAAAUAUCAAUGCUCAUGAAGCUACUAAUUCCAGUUAGUCAAACUUCAGCAUUUUCCUGUGUACUUGCUUCCUAUGAAAGUCUGGAGAGAGAAGAUCUUUGGUCCUUAAUUCAUAGUUUUGUUAUGCACUUUGCAGGGGGAAAACAAACAACUGGAGCUACCAAUUUCUAGAAAGGAUCAUGCUCUUGCUAUUAGGGAAUAUGCCAUGAGAUUUCUGAAAUACAAUGACUCUGAUGUUCGACAAAGCCUUGCUGAAGCUCCGGUGACUCCAGAGAGGGUGUCUGAUGGUGGAAUUGUGGAUGUGCCUCGGGAAGAUCAUUUGGGAGAAGUAUAAAUAUGUUUUACAUGUCAAUGUCUUCUGUUCUCUCUGGUCUUUUAAUGUUUCACCAGGAACAUAUUUUAGGGAUUGACUUAAGUGCUCACUCAUUUCCUUUUCUGGGGUGAUACUCAUUUAAUUUUGGUUCAGAGAAAAGUAAAUCCUUCUAAGUGAUCCUCAUGCCCUCAUGCAGGAGAACCUCUUCUAUGCUGUCUCAUUUGGAGCAAUGGAAGCCUACAGAAAGUCUAUAGAAUCUCAUGUGCUUCACCGUGAGGUAAUAUGUUGAGAAUCACUAUUUCACAAAUGCUUGGUUUUACGUCUUCUGACCUGAUAAGUUGCAAAUUGCCUGUUUCAUCGAACACAUUUGGUGGACCUUGGCCUAGAUACAAGUAUUAUGAGAUUAUAAUGGAGAAUCCAACUUUAUUUUAUUCAGAGUCAGGAAGUGAAUCGAAUAACUGAACUUGUGAACAUUUGUUGCAAGUGCAGUGUCUCUCACGUACCCAACUUGUGUCUAAUUGUCCUUAAAAUUGGCGUCCUUUUAUUCUUAAAGGUUUACAUUCUUUAUAGUAAUCCUUUAUUGGCCUGUAUAUUUUCCUGCCUAAGGGGAUAAAUACCAAAAUAAUAAGUGGAUUGUGGGGAAGAAUAGAAUUUACAGUUUGGCGUUUUUUCUUUUUUCGUGGAUUUCAUGAGUCGUGAACGCACUUCUUUAAAAUGGAAAUUUAUCUGUCUUAUGUAUGGGGGAAAUUGAACUUUUGGUGUAACUUGUUUGUUUGACAACCAAGUUAUUUUCUUGAUUCUGUAUAUACUUCUUAUGUGAAGGAAGUUACUUAGAUUUUGUAUUAAGAUGCAUGAACAGUAUGCAGUCCAAAAUCUAAGCUGUACUUUGACUAAAAGAGUAGAACAACAGGAGGAAAUGUGAUUUCUUGCCCUUGCAUUACCUGUCACACAGAAAAAUUCUUCGUGGUUCACAUGUUUUUGUUUUAACUUGUGGUCAAGAGCUUGACAGAGCUCAUCGCACUUCUUGAGGAAUUUACUUAUAAUCUUGUAGUCUAAAGAUAAUUUUAGCUUAAUCCAAGCCAUUAUUGGUGGUUGAUUGUCUGCAUCUGAGAAAUGAACAGAGGAACAUAGUUUGUGGCUGUUGUGUCUUGCUCCCAGUUAGUUUUUCUGACAUCCUGCAAAAGCUGUAGCAUCUUAAAAGAUUACAUUUACUUGGAAAUUGCAUGUGAUGGGAGUAACAAGGACCAAGCAUGACGUGUUUCUUCCUGUGCAUUUGUCAAAGAGUUUAUUGUUUUGGUAAUCAUUAUUACUCUCUUCCAAAUUUAGGUGUCCCAUUUUGUUUGAGCAUGAUAAAUAAUAAGGUAAUAAUUGUAGUUAUAUUUUGCAUAUAAUUUUUUUUAAUACUUACAUAUGUGUCUAAAGGUGUAUAUAUAGUUAGUUGAUCUUUAAACUAUUUGAAUGUUUUAUAGUUUAAAUGUUGUAGUGGAGCACCUUUUUUUAAUCUUAGAUUAUUGGACAAGUAUUGUAUUGUGUAUGGAGUAUGUUUCCUUAGACAAUUUUGCCAUAAUCCUCAAUAGAAAGUAGGACAGAUUAUUUGGAACAGAGGAUGUUUCUAAAACUAGGUACUGGUUUUAUUCAUGAUUGAUAGCUUGUGCAUAAUUGACGAUUCAGUCUGACCUUGUAGCCAACACCAUCUUUUCUGGCUUUAGCUGUUCGUAUUGUGUUUUAAUCAUACUGGUUGAUGCUAGUCUAUUAUUUGAAAUUCCAGAAAACUGGUAGUAGUAUGCACGAAGAGGUGGAGACAUCGGCAUACGAUACCAUUCCAGGUUUUCUUUCUUUUCUGUUCUCUUUUUAAACUUUUAUGUUCUUGGGAGGUUGUUGCCUCCAUGUACUGUUUUUUCUAGCUGGUCCUAUUUCUUGCUGAAUCUCUAUGCAUUGGUUCUCUAGACUACGCAUUUGAAGAGGAUGAAGGAGAGACAAGUCCAUAUGAUACAUCAGUUGCCAUUGAAGGUAACAAAUCAUCAAGAUUUUCCCAGAAGAAAAGGAAGAUCCACAUUAAGACGUAUAGUGGAAGACCAUAUGGUGUUCGCGCUGAUGUACCAUUUACACAGCGUGCAGAAUACAAACUUGGUACUCAUCAAUCUAUGCAACCAGGAAAAAGGCCAUCUAACAAUCUUAAUGCGUCUAUUCCAACAAAGCGUAUGCGUACUGCUUCGAGGCAAAGAGUUCUUAGUCCUUACAGUGCUACAACAUCUGGAUGUGCUCAGUUGCCAAUCAAAACUAAUGCUUCAAGUGGCGAUACCAGUUCAUUUCAGGAUGAUCAGAGUACUUUGCAUGGGGGAUCACAUAUGCCAAAUAAUUUGGAAGUUGAGUCAGUGGGAGAUUUCGAGAAGCAUUUACCAUUUGAUUCCGCUGAAGUUUCAAAACCUAAAAAGAAGAAAAAAGUGAAGAUUCUGGUACUUGAUAAGUGCUAUGUCUUCAGUAAACAACUUUUCUUUAAUUAGAUUUGGAAGGAUCUCAAUGUUUAUUUUUUCUUGAUGACUGUAUUCUCAUUGAUGCAGGGUUCCGCUUAUGAACAGCGAUGGCAGGUUGAUUCUAAUUUUCAAAACGAGCAGGUGAUUUCCUUUUUCUUGUUCACAUAGUGAAUCUAACUGAGCUAUACUCUAUAUUUUUGCACUCUUCAAUUAGAGUUCAGUAGAGAAGUUAUCCACUUAUAGGUGUGUUUCAAUGACUUGUAAUUUAUUCUUUUUUCUUUCUCAUAGCGGCUCACUUUAUAAGUUAGUUUUCUUAUCUGUUAGUAUUGCACGCUAGUUUAUGGAGGUUUUUGUGUCGACCUAUUGACCCUGUUCUCUUUUCCUGCACGUCGCUGGUAGCUCGAACAAACUCUGUUUUCUUGAUCAUUUACUGGGCAUAGAUGUAUCUCUUUGCAUAUGUGUACUUUUUUUCCAUUUUUUUUCCUUUUUGUUGUUGGAGGGGUAAAUGUUACAUAUUCUUUCUUGAUCCUGCCGUUGGAGUAUGUGAAUAUGCUGUGAUUAACAGAACCCAAUUUUUUUGUAACAAAAACCUCUGUGCUGUUCAUGACUCAAUUCAGUGUAUUGGAGAAGUAUGGUAUCAUCCUCUUGAUGGUUUUGAGAAUGGCAAUGCUAAUGUGCAUUGUUGAUAACCAGAUCUCUCUCUCUCUCUCUCUCUCUGUAUGUGUGUGUGUACAUUCUAUUCUGUUGUGUCAUGUUAUGUUAUGUAUACACACACACACACACACACACAUUUCUGUAACAUCUAUGUGAUUGUUUAUAACUUUUUUGGUCUCAGAGGGAUUCUUCCAGAAAGAGAUUGGAGGGCCAUCAACUUGAUUCCAACGGUAGUAAUGGUAUGGUUUUUUACCAGCACAUCAGAUUAAUAGCUUGAUACUAAAUAUCCUUCUUGUAUUAAUGGCACUCUCUUUUGAAGGUUUAUUCGGUCAGCAUGUUGCAAAGAAACCAAAGAUGAUGAGGCAAUCACUUGAAAAUUCUUUUGAAAAUGUUGGCCCUGUUGGUGGUUUUGUUCCAUCUCCAGCAGCUUCCCAGAUGAGUAACAUGUCCAACCCAAAUAAACUUGUGAGAAUGCUUAGUGGUAGGGAUCAGGGUAGGAGAGCCAAAGCUUUGAAGGUACUUGUGUAUGCUAGAAUCUGGUGCUCCGUUUCAAUUUGCUCUUGUUUGUAGGAAUAAUCUGAAGAUUUAUCCACCUAUAAGAAUGAAUUUGAUAUUUGCAAUCUCUUGCAGAUGUCUGCUGGCCAAGCAGGUUCAGGAAGUCCAUGGUCACUAUUUGAGGACCAGGUUGGUUUCUUUUUUAUUUGAUAUAUCCUUUCUUCUGCUUCUUUUUCAUUGUAGUUUUUCUGGCAUGAUGUGUAUUAUUAAUGGAAUUGGCAUCAAAAUUUUAGGCACUUGUUGUCCUAGUGCAUGACCUGGGUCCAAAUUGGGAGCUUGUAAGUGAUGCUUUCAACAGUACUUUACAAUUCAAGGUGAGCAUAUGUUCAUGAGUUCUCUUACCAUCUUUUAGCCAGACUACUCUAACAGUAGAUGAUUUUAAAACUUUCCUAUAUCUACUUUCUUUACUGUGUGCUUAACUCCUUUUUUUUCUGUCUUUUACAUUAUCUUUUCACUGCUCCUAAAGAGUUGUCUCGAGUAAGUGCAGUGUAUCUACCGCAAGCCAAAGGAAUGCAAAGAACAGCACAAAAUACUGAUGGACAGAAGUAGUGGUGAUGGUGCUGAUAGUGCUGAUGAUUCAGGAUCAUCUCAACCCUAUCCUUCAACAUUACCUGGCAUUCCCAAGGUUCAACAUUUCUUUUCCUUUCUCUUACCUUGAUGUUUACUUUUUCCCCCCAUUUUCAGUAAUUUUGAAUGAACAUGCUAAACAUCAUUCAGGGAAGUGCCAGGCAACUGUUUCAGCGUUUGCAGGGGCCAAUGGAAGAGGAUACCCUUAGAUCUCAUUUUGAGAAGAUGAUCUUGAUCGGGCAGAAAUAUCUUUUACGAAAGAAUCAGGUAUUCUUGCAUUAACAUUUCUCCAUAAAAUAAAGUUAGUCUAAGCCUCUUGGUGAUAUUAGAGAGAAGACCCUAUUUCAUGGUCCUUGAGCUACAAUUUACUGGUUUGUUAUUUGCAUGUUCAGUAUACAUGGAAUGAUUUCAUUUUCUUCAGGCAUAUUCAUGACACAUGUAUGAAAUUGUUAUACCAGGUGGUUUUGGUAAUUGGUGUUGCCAUUUGGUUGUCUAUCAUACUAGGACCAAGUGAGAUUAAGCUUUCUGCAAUGUGUUGCUUAAAAAAUUGAGCUACAAUUAUGAAGCGUGGGAUGUAAUGAAAAAAGACGCAAAAUGGAGAAAAAUACAAAUAUAUAUGUUUAGUCCAAGACUAAUAAUUAUAAAGCAUGAAUGUCAAAUAUAUGUACAAAGAAUUUGAAAAGAUAAUUAUGAUAGCGUGUAAAAUCAUUUUUUUUUUUGUUCCUCUUUUGAAGGUCUCCAGCAUAUCCUUAAUGCUGAGGAAUACAACAUCACCAGUUUCCUAAAAAAUAAAAAUCGAUUGUUUAGUUUCACCUCUUUAGGAGAGGCUCACUAGGAAGGAAAUGCAUAUCUUAGAGCCUUGAUGAUGACACUGAAGCGCACAUUAAGCGAGGUGAAGCGCUCAACACGUUUUGAACCUCGCUUUAGGGCUUAAGUGCUCUCCUUUGUCAACACUGCUUGCUUGGUGCUAUUAUUAUGAAUGAAAUACCCUUACUUAACAACCCCCACUCUGAGCCCAACAGAAAGAGUGAGGUGCCAUUUUUCAAAAAGUACCAAUACAGUAAUCAGAACACUAGGUAUAUGGUCCUUGACCAGUGUCUUUAUUUCAUCCUAGCAAUUUUAGAAAUCAGAUUAUAAGUCUUUUUUUGAGAAUGGUAACACUGUAAACAAACAGGUAUACUACAGAAGCUGUGUAGUCUCCCAUAAGUAAGGAAAGAUACAAGUAAAAUUUCCUUUCAGUAUAGCCUUUUACAUACUGUCUAGAACAUCAAAAAUAUCUUCAGCUUCUAUAAAUAUUCUUGUUUACACCCAAACUAGUUAAGGACUAAGCAUUUCGUCUUCAACUUCUGAAUGUUGUGUUGCUUGUCCUCGAAACAUCUCUGAUUUCUUUCUCUCCAAGUCCACUACACCAAACGCAUGCUUGGACAAUACUCCAUCUCUCCUUCUGACUGGUUAAAUUGCCAUUUCUGCUCCAACAAUUUAGUACAUCCCUUGUUUUUUCUAGCAUCUCCCACCUAAUUUCCCUCAGGUUGAUGAAGAUUUUCCCUAUCUGAUCUGUGCACUUUCAAUGUAAAUCAGAGUAUAAGUUAGAAAUCUGAGAAAAUAUUAUACUCCCCCUGUCCCAAUUUAUGUGUUACUCUUUCCUUUUUAGUCAAUCCCAAAAGCAAAAAGAAUGACACCAACUUAUGACUUUUAGUUUAUGAGCUACUUUCAAAAGCCAAUCCAAACACCCUAUCACUCUUAAUGAGAUGAUUUAUAACCAUAUAAAAAGUCUUCAUUUCAUUCUUAUCUCCGUGCCCAGUCAAACACCAUCACAUAAAUUGAGAUGGGGGAGGGAAUAUGUUUUACAAGCAUGCAGAAUGUUGAAAUUCGUUUAGAAAGUAUCUUAUGUGUACAAAGCAGGGAUCCAUUUUCUGUUUGUUUGCAUUAUACAUCUGAGUUCCAAGUUGAUGUAUGCAUUCCUGUUUCAAUGAAGGGUUAUAAACAUGAUCCAAGACAACUCCAGCAACCACAUGAUUCUCACACACAUGCUCUUUCACAAAUUUGUCCAAAUAAUCUGAGCGGAGGACCUAUUCUUACGUAAGUCUUUCUGUGAUAUGCUUUUUUGGAGAAUUGGACACUUCUCAAGUUUGGUAAUAACUAAAGCUAAGCUAACUCUUCAUUAUUAUUUUUCUUCUGGUUCCUUCUGUUUGUUGUAUGAAGACCUUUGGACCUAUUUGAUGAUGCACCCUUGCCUAGUCCAGACUAUCUUUCUGUUGGAUGCCAAGGUCCGCGCCCAAGUGGAUUAUCUAUUUCAAGUCAGUGUGCAUUGAACUCAGUGCUCCCAGUGUCUGGUGCAAACUUGGCAGUCCAGGGUUCCUCCAGUAUGAUUGGUGGAAACAACUUCCCGUCAUCAUCAAGUCCCCUCAAUGCAUCUGUUAGGUAAUGAAUGGAUUAUACUUAAAAACUAUGUUUUGACUUUUCCUUAUCAUGUACCAAUAUGGGUAAUUCUGCUCCCAGGGAAGCUAGAUAUGUUCCUAGAUCUGCAUCUCUUCCAGUUGAUGAACAUCAGCGACUGCAGCAGUAUAAUCAAAUGAGAAAUAUGCAAUCCAAUAUGUCUGCUCCUGGAGUUCUUGCAACCACUGAUCGUGGUGGUGUUCAUACGCUUUCCAGUGGCAACAGCACGGGCAUGAUGGGUGGGGUUAAUAGAGGUAUUCCAAUGGCGAGGCCUGGGUUUCAGGGAGUUGCAUCACCGUCUAUGUUGAAUUCUGGAAGCAUGGUUUCCCCUGGGAUGGUAGCACUGCCAAACAGUGUGAAUAUGCAUUCUGGAGUGAGCUCUAAUCAGGUGAAUUCAGUGAUGAGACCUCGCGAUGGUUUGCGCAUGAUGCGGGUUAGUCAGCUGCUGGCUUUUGAUUGCUUCUCUCUUGUUGCUCUUAUUUGGUUCAUUGGUGAAGUUGGCAUACAAAAAGUUUCCUUGUUGAUUCAAUUUAAAGGAUUUCUAGUACUUUGUGAGAUGACUUAUAGAUCUGUGCUAUUUUGUUACAACUAUCUUCCUCUUUUUUCCACUAUGACCUGUGAGACUUGUUACAACCUUAUCUGUAGUCACUUUGUUUUUGAAGAGCAGAGUCCACAUGAUUAUGGAUGGAGAACAUGUGAACCUAACAGUUCAGUUGGGCAAACUUGCAAAUUUUUAUGUGAAAAACAUGUAUUAAAGAAUUAGAAGUUUGUGAGCGAGAUUCAUUUAAUCAUUUCUAACUAUUGCAUAGAGAACAAAGGGAGGUAAUACUCUUCUCACCUUUGCGUCAUUUGAUAUGUGUUGAAUGCUUUCAAAAUCACAGCUAUAGCUAAAUCAAGAAGAGACAAUCUGCGAAAGGUAAAGAUUGUUAGCUUUCAGUGAACUGCGUUCAGAUAUAAGAUUAUCAUGACUUCGCUAAGGGUACACUUUGAGUGUUCUAUGAAGAUUAUUCACUCCCACAAUUUAUAAGUUGUUACUCGAUGCUAGUUUCUGUAUCACAUUCUGGUCUUUUGUGGUUGUUGAUGUAAGGAGCAUGUUAUGGACAUCUAACUUCCCAAUAGGCAAUUUUGAUGCAUUCCAAGCUAUUGUGUCUCACCACUCUUUGCAUGUUUCGUUGAAAAAUUGUUGCUUGGCUCUAGUUUCUGCAUCAUUUUCUUCUCUUUUUGUGGUUGCCGAAUGCUGAUACAUAGGAGCACAUUAUCAACAUGUAAUUUUCAACUCUGCAGUUGCCAUAUAGUCCUUACAUGUUUAAUUCAAUGACACUGUUCGGGUAUCUCUCAUACAGCCACCACAGAAUCAGGAAGCUCAGAGACAAAUGAUGGUUCCUGAGCCUCAGCUGCAGGCCUCUCAGGGAAGCAGCCAAGUGGUUCCUCCAUUUGGUGGGUUAAGUUCCUCUUUUCCCAACCAGUCUGCCUCUCCCGUCAAUCCAUAUCCACUUCAUCAUCAGCAAUCACAUCCCAUGUCUUCACAGCAGCCACUUAUGCUUAGCCCUCAUCACCCUCAUCUUCAAGGGUCUAAUCAUGCCACCAACUCACCACAGCAACAAGCUUAUGCAAUUCGAUUAGCUAAAGAGAGGCACCUGCAACAGCGACGGUUGCAACAGCAACAAUUUUCCCAUUCACAGCCCCAACUACCUAUUUCAUCUUCUUUACAAAACAGUCCGAAGACCACAUCACAAUCUUCUUCUCUGCCAGUAUCAGUUUCUCCUUUGACAUCCCCCACCUCAAUGACCCCAAUACCUCAAACUCAUACAUUGCCAGCUCAUGGGCAUGCACGGACUGCUCAAACUGCAGGCAGCAGUCUGACUACUCAGAUGAGCAAGCAAAAACUACGUCAGACAGGGCGGCAGCAGCUUCAACCAGCAGGCAGGCACCUUCCUCCACAGCGGCCGCAGUCACAAUCUCAGCAACAAGCUAAAUUAUUUAAGGGAGUUGGCAGAGGGAACAUGAUGAUGCACCAGAACUUGCAGGUAGAUCCUUCUCUAAUGAAUGAGCUUUCUAGCAAUCAGGCGAAUCAAUCUGCUGAGAAAGGUGAGCAAGCUACUAGCUUGAUGCAAGGUCAUGGACUAUAUUCUGGGUCAGCACACAGUCCUGUCCAGAUUGGAAAACAAGCUAUGGCACCUCAUUCUUCAAGUCAGUUGCAACAGCCCCAGCCUAAGAUUUACUCUGGCCAACCAGCUCCAUCUACUAAGCAUCUUCAGCAGGAGAUGCCUUCUAAUCCGGGUAAUAGCAAUCAAAGUCCUGCCUCAUUGGCUGCCUCUGAUACCAAUUCAUCUCAGCAAUCUGUUCCGUCCUCUGUCUUGGGUUCCUCCAACCACCAAGCAUUGGUGCAUCAACAGUCACAGGUGCAGCCACAGCCAAAAUUGAUGAAUAAAAAACAAGCAACUGUACAACGAGUUUUGCAGCAGAACCAUGUAGUAAAUUCAGAUCCAUCAAAGAAGUUGCAAGCUGGUGAAUCUCAAGCUGAACAACGCUCUAUGUGCAAAACUUCUCAGAUAGGUGUAAUCACCUCAAUGCCUCAGGAGUGCAACAAUGCAACUAAUGUUGCAGAUGCUUCAACCCUGAACACUAAUCAGUGGAAGGGUACAGAACCAUUAUUUGAUUCAAUAGGGGCUCCCCCUACAAAUUCUGCUGGCAGUGAGUCAGCGCCUCAAGUCAACCGAGGAGUAAGCCAAAGACGAUCUUCAGGCAACUUGUCUCCAACAGGGCCUGAUAAUAGUGUCAACUGGCUACAAAAAUCCUCCCAAUUGCAACCUUCUUCCCCAGUGACCCAGCCACAGUUACAGCAGCAGCAGCAGUUAUCACCAUUGCAACAGAGUCAGGUUCUGCAAGCAGGGAAUAGCAAUUCGUUUGCUAGACCCAAUGACUGUAGACUGGAUUGAACUGUCCUCAACAGAUAAUGGAUAAUUCCUUGGUGGCUAAUUAGUCCCUGAAGGGCAGCAUGCUUGGGAAACAGCGGUGUACAGGUAAAACAUUCUUUUAGCUUAAUAUGUACUAAAGUUAGUCUAUUAGCAAUUUCGGUAUCCAAAUAUGAGGAAUGAAAUACUUGAAAUCCUCUAGAAAAAGAUGAAACCCAUCAGUGGACCUCUAAAGUUGACUUUUCACUUAGACACCUCAAGUAAGCUUGGUACAUUUUGGAUUGUUGAAGUGUAAAACAUGGUGUAAUACUUGGUAGAAUCGGCUAAUUCUUGCUUAUUUUAUUGUUCAGAUGAAGCUUGUUAUCCCCGAGGGCAUCACUUCAUGGCAAGUUGGUGAAUUUUUCAAGGUUUAGCAGUACUAGAUGAACGGCUGCUAAAAUUUUUGGGUUUCUGUAUAUUAUUGUUGCCCUAGAGCCUCAGGAAGGUAGGGACAGAUAUAGAGGUAUAUGUACAGGGUUUCACUUUAUCCGGGUUUCCCCCCCCUUUAAACGUUACUUUUUUCAUUUUCGUAAAGCCCCUUGCUCCACCUGCUCACCCAGGGGUUCCUAUUUUGAUUUUGCCCCCGUAGAUCAUUCCCAUGUAUCAUUGCCCGUGAAUUCAAGGGGUAGUUGUCAUUUUUAUGGCCAAGCCAAAGGCUGUGGGAAAUUUUGUGAAUACUAGUCUUUUGUAUACUCCCUAUUUGUCAGAACAGUCACCAUACAUGACUGCACCUUCCUAGUAGCCUCCCUGAUUCUUGUAAAUUGUUCUUGUUUGCAUUUUGCAAAUCUUUAAUGAGAUCCAAUUGCUGGAGUGUUGCUUUUGAAUCAUACAUAUAAAUACAAAUGCCAGGAAAGAUACUAUGAUUGUUGUAAGAGCAAUCAUAGGGGCAAACAAAGGCAUAAACACGUAAAUGAUGUUUGCAAAGGCAAAUAUGGCUUGGGAAAUUCACUGAUAACUAACAAGAAGCAAAUCCUUUUUCUCAAAGUUCUAAGCGCAUGUAUAAUGUUGCCAACAAUUUUACCCUGAAAGAUAAUGGUAAGCUUAAAUCUGAGACCACAAUUUGUGUGUUGGCAUUACAGAUGAGAUCAACAAUGUUAUAUUUUAGUUUCUUUGAUGGUUUUUUUUUAAAUCUUCAACUUGCAAUUUUUUAAUAUCCCCUAGGAACAUUUUAAAAAGUCAAGUCAAUUGUGUAAGAAAGUUUCAUAAAAACGAUGAAGGGAAAAUCAUCAAACAGUAUUAUUUUAGAAGAGGCUUUGCUCGAAGAGAUAGCUGAAGUAGCAGCAUCACAUGAGAAGAAGCCAAGGUUUCUGAUCUCUCUAGAAGCUGUGUUUGCAUAACUCAUUGGCGUGUCUUUUUUAGUUAAGUAUCAAAAACACACCUUUUUUUUUUGAAGUCAUACCUAUAUUAUUGGGAGCAUGAGAAACACAUCUAAACUAUCACGCGUUAGUUUGUGAAACACACCUAAACUAUCCAUUUUUUAAAGAUUCAUACCUAAAUUAUGGUGGCAUCAAAAUAAGGUAUUUGUGCACUUUUAUCAUUGUUUAGCUUAUUUUGCUCCAACUCAUUUCAGCUCAAAUUACAUUCGAAAAAGUUAAUGAUCCACCCAUUUAUUAAUCAACUAUUUCGAUCGGUUCAAAUUUUGCGACCAUAUUUCGCCCAAAAUUAUUUUACAAAGUUUCUAUUAAAGAAAAUCUUACACAAUACGGUGGUACAAUCCAUCGGAGCUAGGGAUGAUAGUGGGGCGGGGUGGAUGGAGGUUUAACCAACAACUUUUCUAAUCCGCCUCGUCCCACCUAGCCUUUUUUCAUUUUCAACCCGGGCAAGACCAGUCCCGCCCCACAAAAAAAUUAAAUUUUAUUUUGUUAAUUUGUUUACUUUACUUAAUAUACAAGUUUAAUAUAAAAGUGUGUUUUAUAUUAUAAUUUACAAGAGAGUACUGUUUCUGUUUUUCAUUUUCUUUUUCUGACUAUUCGAAAAAUUCUUCUAUAUUAAAAAGACUAGCACUAAACAGUAACCAUCAAAUCUGCUAAUAAUUCUAUGAUCUAAAUCAAUCGAUGAAUUGUAUAUAAGAUUAUAACUACCAAUGUACGUUAGCCCAUUUUUCGACUUUAUUUUGAAAAAUUCAUUUUGAAGCUAGGAGGAGAUAAUAAAAAUUACAAAAUAAUAAUAAUAGGUUGUGACUUUUUCGAUGAGUUGUGACUUUUCUGAUAAGUUGUGACAUUUUUCAAAGGAUUGUGAUUUUUCAAUGAGUUGUAACUUUUCCAAAGAGUUGUGACUUUUCCCAAGAGUUGUCACUUUUCGAAAGGGUUGUGACUUCUCAGAAAGGUCAUGACUUUUCCGAUAAGACACAAAAAACGCUUGUUCAUACUACCCUUUGUUUACUAUAAAUAGAAGAAUUUUCUCUCAUUUUUCAACCACAAUUUUUAUUUAAUCUUCUACUCUUCUUCUUCUUAGAGGGUAUAUUUCUUAACCUCGAGUACUUGAGUAAAAUAAUUAUGAUGAUAUAAUAAUUAUUUUUUGGCUUAGUAUAUACAUUAGUAUGUAAUGUUUCAAUAUAUGAAGUUAACAUGAUGUAGUCUAAAUUCAUUUGUUUUUNNNNNNNNNNNNNNNNNNNNNNNNNNNNNNNNNNNNNNNNNNNNNNNNNNNNNNNNNNNNNNNNNNNNNNNNNNNNNNNNNNNNNNNNNNNNNNNNNNNNNNNNNNNNNNNNNNNNNNNNNNNNNNNNNNNNNNNNNNNNNNNNNNNNNNNNNNNNNNNNNNNNNNNNNNNNNNNNNNNNNNNNNNNNNNNNNNNNNNNNNNNAUUUAGAUUGUCAGGAAGUUUGCUUCAAAAUAGUUAUUACUAUGUAUUUUUGUUUUACUGAUUUACUAUUUCUUAAUAUUGAAGUAUUUUCGAUGAAGGAAAGUAUAUAUGUCUUGUAAUAACCCAGUUGAAGUUUGUAUUAGUUUAAUUUUUAUUGUAGUCUAAAUUCAUUUGUUUUUGUUAACAAUUUCUCUUGUGAUGUAGAUAUAUGCUUCUGAAUAUCUUUUUCUAAAAUUAUUAAACUUCUCAUGAGUUAGAGAAUUGUCACAAUUUGUUUUUUUGAUGCCCAAGACAAAAAAAAAUGACUUUAUUUAUCAAUGCUACUUACGUGAUUUAAAUUGCCAGAAAGUUUUCUACAAAAUAAUUAUUACUAUAUAAACAUUGCCCUUUUGUUUUACUUAUUUACUAUUUCUUAAUAUUUCAGUAUUUUCGACGAAGAAAAUUCCAUAUGACUUGUAAUUACCUUGUUGAAGUUUGUAUUAGUUUAAUUUUGAUUGUAGUCUAAAUUCAUUUAUUUUUGUUAACAAUUUCUCUUGUGAUGUAGAUAUAUGUUUCUGAAUAUCUUUUUCCAAAAUUGUUAAACUUUUCAAGAGUUAGAGAAUUGUCACAAUUUAUUUUUUUGAUGCUCAAGACAAAAUAUGACUUUAUUUAUCAAUGUUACUUAUGUAAUAUAGAUUGUCAAGAAGUUUGCUUCAAAUAAGUUAUUACUAUGUAAACAUUGCCCUUUUUGUUUUACUAAUUUACUAUUUCUUAAUAUUUUCAGUAUUUUUCGACAAAGAAAAGUUCAUAUGACUUCUUAUAACGCCAGUUGAAGUUUGUAUUAGUUUAUUUUUAUUAUUUAUUUAAUAGCUAAUUUUUAUGAGAUAAACAUUUUCAUUAAUGCAAAACAUGCUUGGUUGAAUAAAUUGAAAACUGUUUACAAGUAUAUAAGUUAUAUCUUUGUUGGGUGUAAGAUAAACAAGUGAUUAUAUAUAUGAUUUCACAGAUAGAAUAUAUUCUUAAAUUUUUAAUGUUUAGUUUUUUUGGUUAAAAAAGAAGAAGGAAACCUUUCUCAGUUAACUAUGGACAGUCAGACAACUAUCUUAGAUUUAUGUACAUUGUCAAUCGAGAAGUCAAAUAUAAGAGCCAACAAAAAGAACGUCAUUUAUUAUAUUAUAACUUAUAAAAUAAAAAAUAAUAUACAAAAUAGUUCUAAAAAAUAAAAUGUAGUUGUUCUCCACAUGUUCAUAUGAUAUCUAAACAGAUUAAGUGGAAUACACGUGCAAAACACAUCUAGUUAGAUGACAAGAAAAGUACACAACAAAUAUCGUCUAUAAGGUAAUAGUACUUAGAUACGACUAAUUACAUGAUUGAACCUCAUCAAAUUGAAAUAAAUAUAUACAUUAUGGCAUUUAAAUAAUAAAAAAUUUCAUUGACCAUCUUCAUAUGUUCGUGUGAAUAACAGAUAUAUAUGACGGUCCACAUUGAACAUUCACAAAACAAUCUGCAAUAAUAUUUUGUGCAAAGCUUAUUAUUCAAAUCUUCGCUUAAAUUUUCUGAAUUGAUAAUCUCGUGCAACAAAAAACUAGAAUAUAUAUAUAUAUAUAUAUUCUAGAAACUAAGAAAAAAAAACGUCAUUAUGAUGGAUCUUCAACAUGGUGUUAGUCCUACAUAUUUUAUGUAAUCCAUUCUCAUAAUUGCUAUUUAUAUAUGAUUCUUUUUAGGUCCUUUUUUUUUUCCAAAAAAGAAUCAUUGUGUUAUAAAUAAGAAUUAAGAAUACAAAAUUAAAUAGUGUUUAAUAAAAAUUUGUCGUAAACAAGUGGAUGUCCAUAAUGACCCACAUUUACUGUAGCAUGUUAACAUCUCCAAGUAAAUUUCACCCUUAUAGAAAGGGCAUUACACUGUAAUUGAGAAAUACACAUUGAAAUGAAAAUUACUCUCCUCUUUCUUUUUUCUUUAACUUUUAAUAUUUUAUUUUAGGUAAAAGUGUUUGGUGAACUCUUGUACUUGUAUGAGUUUGUAUUAUAAAUUCUUCUACUUAUCCUUUUGUCAAUUGAACCCCUGAACUCAUUGAAACACAAUAUUUUAAACACGUUUUUUUACUACUCAACUGUGUGUAUUACAAACGUCUGACACAUAAUUUUAAAAAUAAUUAUAAAAUAACACGUAUGAUUAUAAAAUGACACGUGUAUAUAAGUCACUCCACCAUUUGAGUUUUUGUUUGAUUUUCAACUUAUCUAGGUAGUUUUUUCAAUUUAUUUGUUGUUUAAUCUGGAUUUGAUCUUCUAUUUGUGUCUUUGUUUGAUUUUGAGGUUUAAUUUUUUUUUUUUGGGGGAGAGAUCGAAAAAGAGGCCAAGAAAAACUCAAAUUUUGUUCAACAAUGGUGUUAGAUGCAAAUAGAAAGAUGAUAAACCCUAAUGUGACUGUUAGACCCUUUUCCAAGUGUCUCACGCUCCUAAGUGUGUGUCACACGCUCUUUCGUAUUAGCUACUACAUAAAAUUAGUGUAAAAUAUUGUGUUUCGAUGAGUUGAGGGGUUCAGUUGACAAAGGAGCAAGUAGAAGGGUUCACAAUACAAACACAUACAAGUAUAAGGGUCCACCGGACCCUUUUGCCUUUAUUUUAACUUUUUGUACUAAUGUUAUGUACUUUGCAACAAAACUAUUAUUUAAUGUAUUUUUUAUUGCAAAUUUUAUUUUUGAAAAAGUAAUAGAUUUAAAAUAAAUAAAAUAUUGUUAUACAAUAAAAGGAAAACUAACUAGCUGCAUACGGCGAAUUAAUUCCCUGCAAUUUCUCAUCAAAUUUUAAGUAUUACGUAUUAUCGUUAUUUUUAGGGCCAUAUUAAUUAAUAACCAACUUAUAUUUACAUGGACAUAUCUUAAGGAUCUAUUUAUAUUUAUUUGCUUCAGAACUUUAAUCUUAGUUAACUUUGUUAUUUCUAAUUCAUCUCCUUUUUUUUAGUUUUUAUCAUGUCAAGUUUAUCAAAAUUUGAGUUUGUGGUAUUUGACAUUACUGAAAAAAGUUAUUUAACCUGGAUCUUUGAUGCUGAAAUUCACAUUGACGUCAAAGGUCUUGGUGAUACUAUUAAACAAGAAAAUAAAGCAUCAAGUUAAAGAUAAAGCAAAGACCAUGAUUUUUCGCUGUCAUCAUCUUCAUAAAGGAUUAAAAACUUAAUAUUCAACUAUGAAAGAUUCUCUUGAAUUAUGGAUUAAUUUGAAGGAUCAAUAUGACCACCUAAAAUUUACGGUGUUACCUAGGGGUGCGCACUAUUUGAAUUAAACCGACAAAUCAAAUCAAAUCGAACCGAAUUCUAAUUUGUUGGUUUUUUGGUUUGGUUUUGGAUUAAUAAUUUACUUUAUUUGUUUUUUUAGUUUGGUUUCAGAUUUAGAAAAAACAAAAACCAAAAAGUCAAAAAAUCGAUUAUAUAUAUAUAUAUAGAUAGAUGGAAUUAAGUUGGAGUUAAUCACUUUUGUCCUCUUUUUAGUUUUUUCUUUCAUUAUGAUUUAAGGUUGACAAAUCAGUAUAUCCAACAUUUUAGGGGGUGGGGGAGAUAAACAGUUGAAAAAUGAGAUAGAUUGAAAUGUAUUAUCACUAUCUCAUUUAGAUCCUCGUACAAAUAAAUGUGAACUAGAGGUUCAAAGGAUAAUCCAUUAGCAAAAUAUUUCAAGUCAACUGUCAAAUGCAUUUACUAACCUAUCAAGAGUUACUAAAUCUUAUAUUCCAACUGCUAAUGAUUCAAUUUGAGUUAACGUCCCAGUAGGAUAAUUAAUUAAGAUAAAUGAGUCUAAACCACACUUAAAACGUAGUAAAUCAAUCGAUUUCAAGAAUAAAAAUCCUCGAAAAAAGAGAGCAAACGAUCAAGAUGAUUAUAAUAUGAAAGAACCUUCUCAAGAAGAGCAACGUGACAUAAUAAUUGAUGAAACUUUGGAAGAGGUUCAGAUGCCUAAAAAUAAUGAAGAGAUCUCAAUAAACUAUGUCUCAUCAAUUUGAGUUGACGUCCCAGUAGGAUAAUUAAUUAAUACAAAUGAGUCUAAACCAUACUUAAAAUGUAAUAAACCAAUCGAUUUCAAGAAUAAAAAUCCUCGAAAUAAAAAAGAGCAAACGAUCAAGAUGGUUAUAAUAUGAAAGAACCUUCUCAAGAAGAGCAACGUGACAUAAUAAUUAAUUAAACCUUGGAAGAGGUUCAGACGCCUAAAAAUAAUGAAGAGAUCUCAAUAAACUAUGUCUCAUCAAUUUGAGUUGACCCAAGUAGGAUAAUUAAUUAAUACAAAUGAGUCUAAACCACACUUAAAACGUAGUAAAUCAAUCUAUUUCAAGAAUAAAAAUACUCGGAAAAAAAAGAGCAAACGAUCAAGAUGGUUAUAAUAUGAAAGAACCUUCUCAAGAAGAGCAAUGCGACAUAAUAAUUGAUGAAACCUUGGAAGAGGUUCAGGCGCCUAAAAAUAAUGAAGACAUUUCAAUAAACUAUGUCUCAUGAGGAAAAAUAAGAAAUCGAAAUGAUAUAAUUGUCGACAAUAUUUGUGCUUAUAAUGUUGUUGUUGAAAUAAUGCAACAAAAUGAGGAUUUUGAAUCAAAAUCUGUCGAAGAAUAUACAAUUCAAGUUGAAUUAGCUUCGCUUGAAAAGCGCAAAGUUUACGGACUGAUAGUCCGAACACCUGAAGGUAUACAUCUAGUGGGGUAUAAAUGGAUGGGUCUUUGUGCGAAAACGAAAUGAGAAAAAUGAAGUUAUAAGAUAUAAAUCACAACUUGACCUAAUAUUGAUUAUAUUGAGACAUAUCCUCUUGUAAUCACUUUCAGGUAUCUUAUAAAUUUAGUAGUUCAUAAAAAACUUGACAUACAUCUGAUGAAUGUCGUCACAGCCUAUUUAUAUGGUUUAAUAGACAACGACAUUUUAUGAAAAUUUCUGAAGGAUUAAAAAUGCCUAAAAUGUAUAAAGAUUUUCGAAAAACUUGUUCAAUAAAAUUUCAAAAAUCUUUUGCGGAUUGAAACAAUCAAAACACAUGUGGUAAUCAAGGGUAUAAGAAUGACCCAAUUGAUUCGUUUUUUUUUGUUUCCAAAGGAAUGUUGUUAUGGACAAAUCUUCUUAUCCGCCCGGUCGUAUCGAUUGAUUGAAAAGCCUGAAAGAGAACGUUGUUUUUUUUUUGGGGGGGGGGGGGGGUGAUACCCGUUGGUACCGGAUUCAAGGGAUUAGUGCACCCUUCAAAAACAACAUAACAACAUUCCUUUGGAAACAAAAAAAACGAAUCUAUUCGAGGGGGAGAUGAGAGAUAUUUUGUUCCACCACAGAAAAUUAUUUGAUUCUUGUCUUUCAAAAAAAUUCCACGACAUACCCGAACAAUCAUUUAUAGGAUUUAAUGAUUCCUAACAACGGAUUCAUCUCUUUCGCUAUCUGCAUUUGGUAUGGUUAUUUGCUUUGGUAAUAAAAAGAAUAAUGAAUAGAAAAGAAUAAUGGUUUGGGUCGUGUAACUACGUCCAAUCUACAGUAGAAGAGAAGGUUCCAUCAGAACAAUUAUUUAUUUUAGUUCAGGGUUCCUCGUCUUUUCUUUUUUUUGAAAAAGAAUAAAAAAAGGGGGGGGGGGAGGUUGUGGGGAGAAAUGACAAGAAGAUAUUGGAACAUAAAUUUGGAAGAG